rnacentral:lncRNA from 1 species
UUUACAUGAAUUUGUAGUUUAUUAAGUAAUGACAAACACAUACACUGGGACAGAGUCCAUUUCUCUGCCAGUCAUUUUAUUACUCAGUCUACACAAAGUGUUUGUUGUAUGUAAAGCACUCUGAGCCCUUGCAAUAACUCAUGCAGGACAGCAUCUUACAGCGCAAAGAGCUGGGGGUCACCUGGGAGGCCCGAAACCUUGAUUCUAAUCUUAAUUCAGUCAUUAUCUAACUGUGUAACCUUGAGCAAAUCCAUUUUCUUCUCUGUGUCUCAGUUUCCAGGCCUGUAAAAUGAAUGGGUUAGCCUAUAUAAUCCCUAAAUUUCUUUCUGGCUCUUAAAGUUUAACAUGUAUGAUUUUAUGCCUAAUUAAUUUCAAAUACUAUAUCUACAUGGUGUUAUUUGCGAAGAUGAGAGCAUGUCUAUUAUAGAAGACAGCAAGGUAUUUCAAAUCCUAAGACCAGUCAGAUCCUGACUCUAGUUUCCUUGGGUAAGUCAUUAACCCUUUUAAGCCUCAAUGUCAUACUGUACUACAAUUAUUUAUUUUACUUAUCUAUCUCUCCUACUAGACUUGAACUUCUAGAGAGCAGGGUAUUCUCAUAUUCAUCUUUCUAUCAUCAAAGCCUAGUGUCAUGUCUGGAGUCUGGUAGGUACUCAAUAUAGGCUUAUUACAUAGAUGAAGGGAUGGCUACAAUCUGAGGGUAAGAAUGACAGCUCCAUCUACCUUACAGAAUUAUUGUAUCGUGAAAUGAGCUAAUAAAUGAAAACAUAUCUUUUAGAUUCAUACUAAAAAAUUAUAUGUUAUUAUUUGUAUUUGAAAUAGUCCAAGUAGAACAUUUUAUUCAUUUAUAAAGAUCUGAUCUGGCCUCCAACUUUUGGUAAAGGAUGAAUGAUAGGCAUUUUUUUCUUGCCUAUGCUAAAUUUCACCUUUCUUUGGAAAUUUUUAUACGCUUUUCUUCUUCUCUUUUUAAAAUUUAACUGAAAGUAUACUUCUAUACACUCACCAUUUUUUAUUUUUCCAUAACUUUUGGGGGAAUGUUUUGGAGUAAUUGGCCAGUAGCUUAGCGCCAGUCUAAUUUAAAUAAGGCAUUUUUAUUAACUUCUACAAAUCAAAACAACGCAGGAGAUAGUGUCUCAGCAAUUGUAUACAUCAGACGCGUGAAUUUUCUGAUGAGCUCAGUGUUCACUAGACUAGUUCCCUAAAGAUGCUCCUGAUUCAGUUUCUACUACAGCUGAAUGCCAACAGUUCUGCCUUUGCAUAUUUCCUCAAAUGGUCUCUCUCUUUUUAGUAAUGAGACUAAAUUUUUCUAAAUUUAGUGUAUCAUUUAAUAAUUCCUGAUUACACUUGGGUACCAUUUUAAAAUGUGAACAUUUCCCUUAACUGAGUUUAAAUCUAGUCCAACUUGAGCAGCGUUUCCUGAAAGGAAUACUACUCCUAAGCAAUAAUGCUCACAAAAAACAGCCAUGGGACAAACACAUUUAGGAAAGUUUGCAUAUUAUAACCUCUCCCCAGUGAUUCACAAACCCCUCAGCACACUGAAGAUUCUGAAAGGCCUUUAUAAAGCCACGUGUUCCAUUUCUUUGUUGUAUAGCAAAUAAACUUGAUUUAACUUGCUUAACUCAGCAUUUCUCAAACUUCCUUAUUUCAUGUGCCACUAAAAAAGAAAAACUGCCAAUUAAACUGGGACUCCAUGCUAAGAUGCCAUCAAAUGUGACAUCAGAAAGGUUAAAAUUAGAAAUAUAUGUGCAUCUUGGAAUCGAUGAAAUCUAUGCCCACAGAACCCUUUUUCUCAAACAUCACCUAUGGACAUCCGGAGGAUCUAGCGUUCUCUGGAAACCGAAGCUCUAGCGGAGAACUUUCACAAUUAUUUCAGAGGAAGAGGGUAAAAGGCUGUUUUUUCCUAUUAAGAAGUAAAAGAACUAAAAAUUUUGAAGUAGAAAUAAGAAAGAAAGAAAUACUGGUCACUCAUUUUCAGUAUGAAAUAGACCUCGUCCAGUUAAAGAGUAAUUUCCAGGUCCAUACCGGCAUGUAACUGUCCAGCUGUCCUCACGCGCACGUAAAUCUCUUUAAAUCAAGAUGGCAUGUAAUUAAAUCGUUCAGCUGGUGGACAGGCUUCUCCGCCAAGGUAGUUCACUUUCACUCGGCGUGACCCCUCUGCCUCUGAAGAGCCCCACACCCUGAAGUGACUCAACUUCAUAAAACCCCCAUUAAAAUCGCCAGCACUUUACAGGCAAUAGACUUGGGCGUAAAGGAUCAGUGACCUCACAGUGAGUCAGAUGAGGUACGUGAGUGUCAGGGGAGGCUGGAGGAUUAGCAAAUCAGCUUCCAGGGCAAGGGUGCGGUGGACGCCUGGCUCUUCAGGCUUCCCGCGCAGGAGGGCACCCGCGUGGCCCAAGUCAACCCAUUUACAUCCCUCUCCAUCUUGCCAAUCCGAGUCCUGACGGGGAUGUGGGCAUGACUUUGGGGACAGCCUGUGCCACUUCAGGCUGGUCCAGGUCCCGUUGUCGGCGUCACCCCUCCCCCACCCCCCCUCCGCUUACGCCAAGGUUUAGCUCUUCGUUAGUUCUGAGUGUCUGAACUGGGCGAAUCCAUCUUUCUGAACACGAAUCUAGAGGUUUCCCCAGGCUCUUCGGGUUGCCAGAACCCGCCAGGGCCUCGUGCCGUCAUUCGGGCUGGUAACAAACAGCCGAUGACCUCGGGAGGCCCGAAGUCACCUUCACACUCUCCUUUGCCCCACACCUCGCAGCUCUCUCCCCUCCCCCGGGGCCAGUCUCCACCACCAGCCUUCCUCCGAGCCGGGGCCUGCCUCUCCAGGAAGCGCCCACUUCCCCAGCCCGGAGCUGCAGGGCGGGAGGAAAAACUUGUAG